UACGUAGGGUGCGAGCGUUGUCCGGAAUUAUUGGGCGUAAAGGGCUCGUAGGCGGUUUGUCGCGUCGGGAGUGAAAACCUUGGGCUUAACUCAGGGCUUGCUUUCGAUACGGGCAGACUAGAGGUAUGCAGGGGAGAACGGAAUUCCUGGUGUAGCGGUGAAAUGCGCAGAUAUCAGGAGGAACACCGGUGGCGAAGGCGGUUCUCUGGGCAUGAUCUGACGCUGAGGUGCGAAAGCGUGGGGAGCAAACAGG
rnacentral:rRNA from 1 species